UUGCUCGUUUUGGCAGCACGCAUACUAAAAUUGGAACAAUACAGAAAUGAUUAGCAUGGACCCUGUGCAAGAUGACAUGCACAUUCGUGAAGAGUUCCAUAUUUUU